GCGAUUGGUUCUGCCCAUCCUGCUGUUGUGGAAUUUGUGGCCUGAGCCGAUUGAAUGAAGACACAGGACGACCUGUAGAUGACAGGCUUAUCAACUGUGGUCAGUGUGAACAUCAGUAUCAUAUAGAGUGCUUAAAAAAGAAGGGUCUUGUUAAGCAUGACUGUCAUCCGGAAAGGAAUUGGUUUUGCAAUGAAAAAUGUGAACAGAUACAUCUGAGUCUCCACAAUCUCCUAGGAAAACCAAUUCCCGUGGGGCAUGAUAAUCUUACUUGGACAUUGUUAA